rnacentral:rRNA from 1 species
UACGUAGGGGGCAAGCGUUGUCCGGAAUCAUUGGGCGUAAAGCGCGCGUAGGCGGCCCGGUAAGUCCGCUGUGAAAGUCAAAGGCUCAACCUUUGAAUGCCGGUGGAUACUGUCGGGCUAGAGUCCGGAAGAGGCGAGUGGAAUUCCUGGUGUAGCGGUGGAAUGCGCAGAUAUCAGGAGGAACACCAAUAGCGAAGGCAGCUCGCUGGGACGGUAUUGACGCUAAGGCGCGAAAGCGUGGGGAGCGAACAGG